AAACAGGCUCUGUACUACUUGUCCUCACAGAAUGACUAACAGAAAUAUGACCCUUGUGCACUUUUUGUAGUUAAUUCAUUAGGUCAGCUCUAACCACUAAGCCCCUUGUCAGGUUAUUUCUAGUAGUGACAAGGAGCAAUUAAGCUUAAAAGACUGAAGCCAGGUAGAUGAGCCUAUUCCAGGAGGUCUCUUGGCUCCACCCUUGUGAAGUGAAACCUGCCAGGUGUGGGUCAUUUGACUUUUGAUAUAUAGGAAGCCUGAGGACUUGUGGGGAAUUGCCUUCCUGGUAGGGGAGGUUGAGGCUCAGGUUCUCUAGGGUGCUUUUCUGCUGUUGUGGUGGAGCAGAUUCAGUGUUCCUGGGUGGGCUGCUAUUUCUUCACGUUUUCUCCCAUCUCUGUGAAACAGUUUUAGUGACUCUAUGAGCUAGCUACGUUGUUGGUGUCCUCUCAGUAUGGUGAGACCCUGGUGGCGCGAAGUCACUGUGAAGCAGUGUGGAAGUGACUCAAGUUCAGUAGCUGGCAGUGAAAUUACUUCCGUGGCUUCUAAGCUCCCUUUCCAGCCCUUCCAAAUAUAAUGAGAAUGAAAGCUAAAAAGAAAGCCCCACCAACUCAGAAGCUCAAGUGUUUACAGGUAAGCCUGACUUUGAAGAAUGUUCUUAAUUAUUUGUUAGGAUUCGACAACAGGCAGUGUGGAAAAAGGUGCCCUAAUGUGCACUCAGAUUAUGCCUUGCAGUGAGUAGAAACCGAUGGGGAAGGUAAAGGUGGAGUUAUCAUAACUUUCACUAAGUGGAAGUUGCGAGACUGUGCUGUUCCUAAAAGAAAUGCCGCUUUCACAACAUGUAAGUCAAAAGCAGUAUGAAGAAAGCCUCUCCUCUUCCCUGCUGGCCUGCGUCUCGGCUGUGGAGAAAGAUUUGGAAUAGGUCCACCAGUGAGGAGAGACUAUCUUCCUCCCAGGCUGUACAAAACAGUGUCUGAGGUAUUGGGGAAAGCGUCCUUCUGUGAAAGGAAGAGAGCAGAGCGGGACCACGGCCCGUGCCACCCUGCGGUUCUACCAGCGUGACCAUGCAGAGACGGUGAGAGUAAAGGAAGAAAAAUUGAAGCUGCUGUUAAAGGCAUGGCUACCUGAGUUGGGAAUAAAA